GCACACGUCACGGCGCGCGCUGGGGUCGGGUCGGCUGAGGGCGGGGGGGUGGUGGUGGUUGGGGGGGAGGGGAGGGGAGGGGAGGGGAGGGGAUCGGAGGAUGCGGUAGGGGACCGGUAGUGACUUAUCAUCGAGUGAGAUCAGUGGGUGGAGGAGGAAAUAUCCACACACAUAAUAAUAAUAAUAAUAAUAAUAAUAAUAAUAAUAAGAAGAAGAAGAAGAAGAAGAAUAGUGGCGCAUCCUUCUUCGAAUGUGUUCGAGGGAAACCCAGCAGGGGAAUUUCUUUGCAAAGUUACACGUCGUAGAAAAGAAUUACGUCAUUUGAAGAGUCGGAAUGCGAAGCAUUUCUGAAGGCAACACGAGGACGUUCCGAGCACAGAGCUCCAGCGGAGGAGGAGACCACCAACUCAUCCAGCGACAUCAAUGCAGACCUUCCGCUCUUGUCGCCGUGCCUCAUGUAACUGCAGUGUGUGACUAACGCUCUCCUGCGAGGCUCCGCGCUCCUGACAGUAGGUGGCGGCAAACGCUGUCUAUUUGUGGCUCCAGCCUGCCAUGUCCCCCAGGAGAACCGGAAGAUGAUGGGGAAAACCAAUACCCAAGAAUGAUACCCAGAGAUGGAUGUUUCAGUGAUGCUGAUGCUGAGGAACUGAAACUGAAAAACUGAUGCUGAGAAAGGGAUGCUGAGGAAUUGAGAAGGGUACCGGGAGCUCCAGGAAUGGAGUGGAGGUUUUCCUCAAAGUGCUUUGUACUUUAACCAGAGAUUUUCCCAGAAAUACAUGUUAGCUGUUACCUGUCCAGGGUCUCUAGUCUCUAGUCUAGUGUCUGUUAUUUGUUCUAGCUAAAUUACAUGCCCCAUACACCCUUUUCAGUAUUUAUAUUACAUUUAAAUUUUGCGUAAGUCUUUUACAGCAUUGUGUAUAUUAUAUAUUGUGUACAUUGCUGCCAGACUCUGGGCGUAUAUUGCACUGUCUUGUCUUCUUUCUGCACUUGUCUGUUGUAUUUAUCUUUCUUACAACCUGAACUGUAUGUUUUGUGUGGCACGGAGGUCUGAAGAGAAACUGAAUUUCAUUCUUCUGUAUGUGUAACUCAC
rnacentral:lncRNA from 1 species